CGGGGGGGGGCAAGCGUUGUUCGGAAUUACUGGGCGUAAAGGGCUCGUAGGCGGCCAACUAAGUCAGACGUGAAAUCCCUCGGCUUAACCGGGGAACUGCGUCUGAUACUGGAUGGCUUGAGUUUGGGAGAGGGAUGCGGAAUUCCAGGUGUAGCGGUGAAAUGCGUAGAUAUCUGGAGGAACACCGGUGGCGAAGGCGGCAUCCUGGACCAACACUGACGCUGAGGAGCGAAAGCCAGGGGGGCAAACGGGAUUAGAUACCCCGGUAGUCCUGGCCCUAAACGAUGAAUGCUUGGUGUGACGGGUAUCGAUCCCUGUCGUGCCGAAGCUAACGCAUUAAGCAUUCCGCCUGGGGAGUACGGUCGCAAGGCUG
rnacentral:rRNA from 1 species